rnacentral:rRNA from 1 species
AGUGAACGCUGGCGGUAGGCCUAACACAUGCAAGUCGAACGGCAGCACAGUAAGAGCUUGCUCUUACGGGUGGCGAGUGGCGGACGGGUGAGGAAUACAUCGGAAUCUACUUUUUCGUGGGGGAUAACGUAGGGAAACUUACGCUAAUACCGCAUACGACCUACGGGUGAAAGCAGGGGAUCUUCGGACCUUGCGCGAUUGAAUGAGCCGAUGUCGGAUUAGCUAGUUGGCGGGGUAAAGGCCAACCAAGGCGACGAUCCGUAGCUGGUCUGAGAGGAUGGUCAGCCACACUGGAACUGGGACACGGUCCAGGCUCCUACGGGAGGCAGCAGUGGGGAAUAUUGGGCAAUGGGCGCAAGCCUGAUCCAGCCAUACCGCGUGGGUGAAGAAGGCCUUCGGGUUGUAAAGCCCUUUUGUUGGGAAAGAAAAGCAGCAGGUUAAUACCCCGCUGUUCUGACGGUACCCAAAGAAUAAGCACCGGCUAACUUCGUG